rnacentral:tRNA from 1 species
GGUGGUGUAACUUAAAUGGUAUAGUGCUUGCCUAACGAGCUCAAGAUACUGAGUUCAAACCCUAGUACCACCA